UGCUGAUCUGACUUUGAGCUUACAGAAGCGCUGCAUGCAAUGUAAAGAAACGCUGCACCGUCGCUGCUAUUUCUUAUUAUUAUUAGAUUAUGUGUCACAUUACUGGCAAAUUUUCAGUCAACAAUACGACGCAAUAUGAAAAGAAAAUUUAGUCUAGUUGGCAAGUGAUUCUGGAUACAUUUCGAGCGAUGCUAACUCAUCGCUCAUUGGUAACGCAGAAAUCCUAAUUCUUCUGGUCGCAAAACCAUCAAGGCGUGACCACUGCUGCCUUCUCCACGUGCUGUUCUUCCAACUCUGUGUAUAUAUUCCUGAAGAGAAGAGAACAAUACAAGCAUAAAAAAAUGUAA
rnacentral:lncRNA from 1 species